GCUUGGUUUAAUGGCAGAGCACUUGCUUCGCAUGAAAGAGAUCCCAGGUUCAAUCCUUGGCAUUAGUA